rnacentral:rRNA from 1 species
AGAGCACAGGGAGGAUGCCUUGGCACCGGAGCCGAAGAAGGGCGUGGCAAGCUGCGAAAAGCCACGGGGAGCCGCAAGCGGGCGUAGAUCCGUGGAUACCCGAAUGGGGGAACCUGCCGGUUAGGAGAGCCGGCAUCACAUGCUGAAUAGAUAGGCAUGUGAGGGGGGACCGGGGGAACUGAAACAUCUAAGUACCCCGAGGAAAAGAAAUCAAGUAAGAGAUUCCCUGAGUAGCGGCGAGCGAAAGGGGAGGAGCCCAAACCAUUAUACGGAAGUAUAAUGGGGUUGUAGGAUAGGUCAAAAGAGUCAUGUAAGGCUUAGCCGAAUUGUCUGGGAAGGCAAACCGAAGAAGGUGAGAGUCCUGUAGGCGAAAAGCUGAUAAGUGGCUGACCUAAUCCUGAGUAGCACCAGUUUCGGGGAGGCUGGUGUGAAGCAGGGGGGACCACCCUCCAAGGCUAAAUACAACCGGUGACCGAUAGUGAAGAAGUACCGUGAGGGAAAGGUGAAAAGAACCCCGGGAGGGGAGUGAAAUAGAACCUGAAACCCUGUGCUUACAAGCAGACGGAGGGGUAGAAAUACCCUGACGUUGUACUUAUUGAAGAACGGUCCGGCGAGUUACUAACGCAUGCGAGGCUAAGGCACGAGAGAGUGCUGGAGCCGGAGGGAAACCGAGUCUGAAGAGGGCGGAAGGAAGUAUGAGUUAGUAGACCCGAAACCGGGUGAUCUAUCCUUGGCCAGGGUGAAGUGGAGGUAAAGCUUCAUGGAGGCCCGAACCGGUCGUCGUUGAAAAGGCGUCGGAUGAGCUGAGGAUAGGGGAGAAAUUCCAAUCGAACCCGGAGAUAGCUGGUUCUUCCCGAAAUAGCUUUAGGGCUAGCCUCAAGGGGUAGCCACUGGAGGUAGAGCACUGAAUGGGCUAGGGGCGCAAAAACGUUACCGAACCCUAUCAAACUCCGAAUGCUGGUGGUGUAACCUUGGGAGUCAGACUACGAGCGAUAAGGUCCGUGGUCGAGAGGGGAACAUCCCAGACCGACAGCUAAGGUCCCAAAGCAUAGCUAAGUGUAGAAAGGAUGUGCAACUACGAAGACAACCAGGAGGUUGGCUUAGAAGCAGCCACACCUUUAAAGAGUGCGUAAUAGCUCACUGGUCGAGUGGUUGUGCGCCGAAAAUACUCGGGGCUAAGCUAUGCACCGAAGCUUUGGAAGUUAAUCGAUAAGAUUAACUUGGUAGGGAAGCGUUCUACACUGGGGGAAGGUGAAGGCGUAAGCCACACUGGACGGUGUAGAAGAGAGAAUGCCGGAAUAAGUAGCGCGAGGAUGGUGAGAAGCCAUCCCGUCGGAAGCCCAAGGGUUUCUGGGGAAGGCAAAUCCACCCAGAGUUAGCCGGGGCCUAAGGUGAGGCCGGGAGGCGUAGCUGAUGGGAAUCAGGCAGAUAAUCCUGAGCCACCUAUUCGAGGAAAACCUACGAGGCGGGACGCAGGAGGAGCAGGCAACCGAGCUGUUGGUAUAGCUCGGCCAAGCACUGAGCGAGUGCAUGUAGGCAAAUCCGCAUGCAUGUUGAAGUGAGGUGUUAAGGGGAGCCGAAGAAAGAGUAGGCGAAGUGCUGAGCUUCACACUGCCGAGAAAAGCGUCGCGUAGGCGAGAGUAGGUGCCCGUACUGUAAACCGACACAGGUGGGCGAGGAGAGGAUCCACAGACGGACGGGAGAAGCAUUGCUAAGGAACUCGGCAAAAUGACCCCGUAACUUCGGGAGAAGGGGUGCCCUAUGUGAAGGUAGGGUUGCAGUGAAGAGGCCCAAGCGACUGUUUAGCAAAAACACAGGUCUCUGCGAAGCCGAAAGGCGAGGUAUAGGGGCUGACGCCUGCCCGGUGCUGGAAGGUUAAGGGGAGGGGUUAGAUGAAGAGUCGAAGCUCUGAACCGAAGCCCCAGUGAACGGCGGCCGUAACUAUAACGGUCCUAAGGUAGCGAAAUUCCUUGUCGGGUAAGUUCCGACCCGCACGAAUGGCGUAACGACUUGGGCGCUGUCUUAGUGAUGCACCCGGCGAAAUUGUAGUACCAGUGAAGAUGCUGGUUACCUGCGAUUGGACAGAAAGACCCCAUGGAGCUUUACUGUAGCUUGGCACUGUGUUUUGGUGUGUUCUGUACAGGAUAGGUGGGAGGCAGAGAAGCUUAGGCGCCAGUCUAAGUGGAGCCGGUGGUGGGAUACCACUCUGGACAUACUGGAGCACUAACCGUGCACUCUGAAGCGAGUGAUGGGACACUGCCAGGUGGGCAGUUUGACUGGGGCGGUCGCCUCCAAAAGAGUAACGGAGGCGCCCAAAGGUCACCUCAGCACGGAAGGAAAUCGUGCGGUGGGAGUGCAAAGGCGCGAAGGUGGCUUGACUGUGAGAGAGACAUCUCGAGCAGGGACGAAAGUCGGGCUUAGUGACCCGGCGGUAUCAAGUGGGAGAGCCGUCGCUCAACGGAUAAAAGUUACCCUGGGGAUAACAGGCUGAUCUCCCCCAAGAGUCCACAUCGACGGGGAGGUUUGGCACCUCGAUGUCGGCUCAUCGCAUCCUGGGGCUGAAGUAGGUCCCAAGGGUUGGGCUGUUCGCCCAUUAAAGCGGUACGUGAGCUGGGUUCAGAACGUCGUGAGACAGUUCGGUCCUUAUCCGUCGCAGGCGCAGGGUAUUUGAGGGGAUCUGACCUUAGUACGAGAGGACCGGGUUGGACAGACCGCUGGUGAACCAGUUGUACUGCCAAGUGCACAGCUGGGAAGCCAAGUCUGGAAGGGAUAAACGCUGAAAGCAUCUAAGCGUGAAACCCACCCCAAGAUGAGAUACCCCACACGGAAGUGGU